rnacentral:rRNA from 1 species
AUUGAACGCUGGCGGCAGGCCUAACACAUGCAAGUCGAACGGUAACAGGAAGCAGCUUGCUGCUUUGCUGACGAGUGGCGGACGGGUGAGUAAUGUCUGUGAAACUGCCCUAUGGAGGGGGAUAACUACUGGAAACGGUAGCGAAUACCGCAUAACGUCGCAAGACCAAAGAGGGGGACCUUAGGGCCUCUUGCCAUCUUAUGUGCCCAGAUGGGAUUAGCUAGUAGGUGGGGUAACGGCUCACCUAGGCGACGAUCCCUAGCUGGUCUGAGAGGAUGACCAGCCACACUGGAACUGAGACACGGUCCAGACUCCUACGGGAGGCAGCAGUGGGGAAUAUUGCACAAUGGGCGCAAGCCUGAUGCAGCCAUGCCGCGUGUAUGAAGAAGGCCUUCGGGUUGUAAAGUACUUUCAGCGGGGAGGAAGGGAGUAAAGUUAAUACCUUUGCUCAUUGACGUUACCCGCAGAAGAAGCACCGGCUAACUUCGUG